UCUGGUCGCCAUAGCGAGGGUCUCGCACUCGAUCCCAUUCCGAACUCGUCAGUGAAACCCCUCCGCGCCAAUGGUACUUAGGCUUAAGCCUUGGAAGAGUAGGUCGCCGCCAGAC
rnacentral:rRNA from 1 species